AGAGAAAUGGAGAAAGUGGAAGCUCAUUAGAGGAGAGAUAACUCUGUCCAGGACGUUUCUCAGUAAGGAAAUCACAUGGCUAUUUAUGCUGGCCAUCUCCAGUCCACCUCUGUCAGAUGCUGUUUGAAACAAAACACUGUGUCUGAGAGCACAGGAUAUUUCAGCCUAACAAGUUUAUCUAUUCAUUCCAGACAAGGCAUGAGAUACAAGAAAUCAUGCACAGGGCAGCAAGACAAGGGGAAAUCGCAGAGAAAAAAGAAGCUCGGCAGGAAAGUUUGGUACCUUUGUGCCUGAUGCACUUUUUACAUUAUGAAAAGUGGUUUUCAUGAUAUUGCUAAUUACUGAUGGUUAACAAAUGGAAGAAAAUGAAUACAAGAUAAUAGUCACAGGAGAAAUGAAAUUAGGAUCAAAUUAUAAAGCUGAAGUACAUAGGAUGAUGUCCACUUACGAAUAAAUGUACGAGAAUUAAAAAUAAAAUAAAAUUUAAUUGU
rnacentral:lncRNA from 1 species